rnacentral:rRNA from 1 species
UACGUAGGGUGCGAGCGUUAAUCGGAAUUACUGGGCGUAAAGCGCGCGCAGGCGGUUUUAUAAGACAGGUGUGAAAUCCCCGGGCUCAACCUUGGAAUGGCAUUUGUGACUGUAAGACUAGAGUACGGUAGAGGGGGAUGGAAUUCCGCGUGUAGCAGUGAAAUGCGUAGAGAUGCGGAGGAACACCGAUGGCGAAGGCAAUCCCCUGGACCUGUACUGACGCUCAUGCGCGAAAGCGUGGGGAGCGAACAGG